AUGGAAAAUCCUACAUCGCAUUUGUGGUCACAUUGAGAAUCUAACAAAAAGCAGAGUUGUUUCUACUGGAGACUUAAUUUUAUACAAGAUAAAAAAAUUAAAGAGCAGCCUAGAAAUAUUCAGUUUGUACAAGAAUAACUAAUAAGGAUAAGUUUUCACUGUAUAAACAUGAACCAGAUACAAGUGACCAUUUAGAAGGGAUGGUUCCAAUUUCAAUAUUUAUUUAUCAUUGUGCACAUUCAAAAUCAAUAGUAUGUUCCUUUGAUAUUAUUCCCCCCACACCCUCAUUUCUAGUGGAAUGUAUGUUUAAUAUAGACCUGGUGUAAAUAUUUAAUUUCCACACAUAGAACAGCAAAAUCCAAUCCAUUACUAUGGGUCAUGACCCCUUCAGAACAGGGACACAGCUCAUAAAAUAGAAAGUAUAAGAAGCCAAACCAUUUCUCAGAAGACAAGGUUGCAUGAACUACAAAAUAGGGAACUCAAUUACCAUAAGUUACACUAGAUAUUUUAAAUUAAUGAAAUGCAUUGGUAUUUUUCACUGGUUUUCACUCACUCGAUUCUCUAUAUAUUUUGUUGCUUGAAUUGCAUCAUGGACCAGACUUGUGCAAACAUAACUAUAAUAUUCCUGUUUAUUUCAUGUUCAGCAAGUUGUUGUAAAACAUUCCAAGCUCCUUCUCACUGGAGCCACAGGACUCCACAUCAGUGAGACAGGCCAGAAGAACAAAAGAAGAAAAAAUACUGGCAAGGAGAGCAGUCAUAUCUUUUGAGCUACACAAAGCUGAACAAUGUUGCAAGGAAGGCUCCUCCCCAACUCUGGGGGCACAAGGACACAGAUGGUGCCUCCCUUCUCCACUACCCCACCCCCACCGUGGCUUUCGUGAAAAAGAACUCCACAGUGGAGCCAGCCAGAGACUCGUCUGGAGGAGCAGUAACAGAAGCAGCUACAGUUUUGACUGGACUUCCUCUGCUCUGUACUAAUUGGCUGUUUGCUCCAAACCUGCAUCUCCUCAUCUCAGCUUCACUCCACAACUGCCCCCCCUUUUCCUGCCCUGUCAUGCUCACUCAUCUUCCUUUCCCUUUAGCUUAUCCCCUCCUAACUCCACUCCCCUCCCCUCCCAAAAAAGUCAUGGCACUGAAGUGAUGGCUUGUGCCAUCACACUGCUUUGCAUGUUAUUCCUCCCUGCCCCCCACUCUCUGUCUGCCUGGCCUAUUUAGACUGCAAGCUCUUCGGGGGGCAGGGAUUGUCAACUACUCUGUACAGCGCUCCACUCUGCAUUGGUACUUAGGCACUGCCGUAAUAAACAUGAUUAAUAAUACUAUAUACGCA
rnacentral:lncRNA from 1 species